CGANCCUGACGCAGCCACGCCGCGUGCGGGAUGAAGGCUCUAGGGUUGUAAACCGCUUUAGGCAGGGAAGAAAAUGACGGUACCUGCAGAAUAAGGUCCGGCCAACUACGUGCCAGCAGCCGCGGUAACACGUAGGGACCGAGCGUUGUCCGGAUUUAUUGGGCGUAAAGAGCUCGUAGGCGGUUCGGUAAGUCAGGUGUGAAAGCUCGAGGCUCAACCUCGAGAUGCCACCUGAUACUGCUGUGACUUGAGUCCGGUAGAGGAGUGUGGAAUUCCUGGUGUAGCGGUGAAAUGCGCAGAUAUCAGGAGGAACACCAAUUGCGAAGGCAGCACUCUGGGCCGGUACUGACGCUGAGGAGCGAAAGCGUGGGGAGCGAACAGGAUUAGAUACCCUGGUAGUCCACGCCGUAAACGUUGGGCACUAGGUGUGGGAUCGAACUAACCGAUUCCGUGCCGUAGCUAACGCAUUAAGUGCCCCGCCUGGGNNAGUACGG
rnacentral:rRNA from 1 species